rnacentral:pre_miRNA from 1 species
CGGAAUCUUAUACACUACAUUUCUUUUGCACUCAACAACCUGGUGAUCAGAACGCUUGGAACAUUCAUUAUUGAAUGUUCCAAGCGUUCUGAUCACCAGGUUGUUGAGUGCAAAAGAAAUGUAGUGUA